AUUGAACGCUGGCGGCAGGCCUAACACAUGCAAGUCGAGCGGAUGAAGGGAGCUUGCUCCUGGAUUCAGCGGCGGACGGGUGAGUAAUGCCUAGGAAUCUGCCUGGUAGUGGGGGAUAACGUCCGGAAACGGGCGCUAAUACCGCAUACGUCCUGAGGGAGAAAGUGGGGGAUCUUCGGACCUCACGCUAUCAGAUGAGCCUAGGUCGGAUUAGCUAGUUGGUGGGGUAAAGGCCUACCAAGGCGACGAUCCGUAACUGGUCUGAGAGGAUGAUCAGUCACACUGGAAGGGAGACACGGUCCAUACUCCUGCGGGACGCAGCAGUGUGGAAUAUUGGACAGUAGUCGAAAGCCUGACCCAGCCGGGCCGCGUGUGUGAAGAAGGUCUUCCGAUUGGAAAGCACUCUAUGGGGUGAGAAAGGGCUGUAGCUUAUGACCUUGCUGUAUUGACGGUACCAACAGAAUAAGCACCGGCUAACUUCGUG
rnacentral:rRNA from 1 species